rnacentral:lncRNA from 1 species
AUGGCUCUCCGCCGCGAAGAUCGCGGCGGCCGAGCGAGAUCCGCGGCCGCGGUUCGGCCGCGGAUGAGCUGGAGGGGGGGUGCCGCGGGACUAGCGACAUCCCCGCCCCGAUCAUCCCCGAAAGAGCCGGAGAGGAUCGCAAAUCGCGAUCCUCUGUUCCGGCCUUCCAAAAAGAGAACGGGACUGAAGUCGGCAGGGGCUGCCGACUUCAGCCCGUGUCUCACAAU